AGCGGAGGCAGAAGUUACGGUGAUUCCACUGGAGGUGUGGCGCUGGUGGAACUGACAGAACAGAACUACAGCCGUUUGUACGAACUGAAGGAGUCUCCCAAUGAAGAGGAAGAGUGGUCAGGGCUGUGGGAGUCUGCAAAAUGGGGAACACUAAGGUUUGCUGUGCUCUUUCUUGAGGCCUAUGUCAGGAAGUGGUGAAGGUGUCGCCUUUGGAGUCCUGUGUUUCUCCAGCAUCCCCAAACAUGCUCAUUAAUGCUUAGUGAAUGAGGUGAGAAGCACUGGUUGUGUGAGGAGUUACUAGUGAUGGGUUUAGUAUCAUUUCCUGUGGUGACAGCAGAGGACUACACCAAACAAAGCACGAGUUUCUAGCCUGUAAUGCUGGAAAAAAUUAGUUAGGGACUAAGGGUGUGGAAGGCUCAUGGGUAAUGCAUAGACUGGUCAGUGCACACGACGGUCACAAGCUCGAGGGGUAAAUGCGUAAAGUAAUUAAAGCUUAUAUUAAAUUGACAUUUCCUGUGCGGCCGGGAGACCUCGAUCUGCACCCGUUCCCGCUGAGGCAGCCGCGCACCUGCCGCCCCUCGGGACCGGGGAGCAGCGGCAGCCUUCCUUCUCCUCAGGCAGCCCAGCCGCUGCCUGGGCACAGCCACAGCUGAGGGCGGCACCCGGCUCCCACCCUGGGCCCACCGGGCUGGGGAGGGUGCGCCCGGCACCGGCAGGCGGCGGCAGGAGUUGCUGGAAUUAUUACAGCUGAUUUUGCCCCAGGCACGGUUCACUGGGGAGCUGGUACCUGGGGUUCCGCUGAUAUCCCUGUCACUGGCAAGUGAUCUCGGAAUAUUUUUUUUCCUGGGGUUUAUGUGCCAUCUUAUGAAAACAUGUAGAAGUCUUCCAACUUGCUUUAAUGUCCUGGAAGGUUGACCUUAGAAAUAUUCACCCUACCCUGGAGAUGAUGAAUUUGUCACCAAAGUAGUUGUAUUAGGCCAUUUAGCAUCAUGUUGAUCCAGCAGCAAUAAAGCGUUACUUCAUUGAGACUGAUGGAAAUAACGCUUCAAUAGCCAUAAAUCCACCUGCCUGCAUGUUGCAUUAUCCACCUUCUCAAACAUCAGUGAUUCUCAUCAUGGAACUCUUGGAAGAAACUUAGUAUUUGUAAGUCGGUGUUAGCAUCAAUGUGAUUGCACAAAACUAGAUGUUGGCCACAUAAUGGAAGAACCUGGAGAAGUCUGGAAACCGAGGCUGAUAGCUAUAAACAUCUAGAAACUGGUCUGUAACACCCCGACUACGUUCUUCCAACUCAAGUCAGCCGGGUAGCUUGUGUUCAGGUGACCAUAACAGGAGCCAGUUCUGAAGCUGUUUGCUGCAGAGAAGCAUUUUGAACAGAGGAAUGACUUAAGCAGCUGCAUUUCUGUUCUGCUUUCAGCAUCUUUACCAGACUAUAAAACAUUUUUUUUCAAAAUACAUUAAUAUUGUAAAUGCUUUUUCUACAUCGUAUUUUUUCUGGAAACAAUUUUUUUCCUCCAUGUUCAUAGCAUCAGAUAAAUGUAUUAUUUCCUUAUCUGUAGCUGAAUCGCUGUAAAACAGCAUUUUGGUGGAAGAAUGCCUUCACUGCCAUGGGGUUCGAAACAGAUUCACUUUGUUACCCAUUGUUUGCUGCUCAGAAAAUAGCAUAUAGCUGCUGGCCACGGUGCAGGUUUUAUUUUCAGCAUGUUUAGGAUCCUGUUUUCUUAGAGGUUUUAAAAAUUGCACAAAUGAGCAAUGGUAUACAUGUUCAGGAUGAUUUACAUUUAAUCUGUGCAUGUUCAGAGCAGGCUACAAACGGCAAGCGUUGGAGACCUGUUAAAAAUAUGAUUGAGACCAAAAGUACAGCACAGGCAAUUUUUGUUCCAGAGCUUUUGCUGAGCUCUCAUU